rnacentral:rRNA from 1 species
UACGGGAGGCAGCAGGGGGAAUAUUGCACAAUGGGCGAAAGCCUGAUGCAGCUAUGCCGCGUGUAUGAAGAAGGCCUUAGGGUUGUAAAGUACUUUCAUCGGGGAGGAAAAAACAAAACUAAUAAUUUUAUUUCUUGACGUUACCCGAAAAAGAAGCACCGGCUAACUCCGUGCCAGCAGCCGCGGUAAUACGGAGGGUGCUAGCGUUAAUCAGAAUUACUGGGCGUAAAGAGCACGUAGGUGGUUUUUUUAAGUCAGAUGUGAAAUCCCUGGGCUUAACCUGGAACUGCAUUUUGAAACUGAAAUACUAGAGUAUCGUAGAGGGAGGUAGAAUUCUAGGUGUAGCGGUGAAAUGCGUAGAUAUCUGGAGGAAUACCUGUGGCGAAAGCGGCCUCCUAAACGAAUACUGACACUGAGGUGCGAAAGCGUGGGGAGCAAACAGGGAUUAGAUACC